GAUGAACGCUGGCGGCGUGCUUAACACAUGCAAGUCGAACGGGAAAUAUUUCAUUGAGACUUCGGUGGAUUUGAUCUAUUUCUAGUGGCGGACGGGUGAGUAACGCGUGGGUAACCUGCCUUAUACAGGGGGAUAACAGUCAGAAAUGGCUGCUAAUACCGCAUAAGCGCACAGAGCUGCAUGGCUCAGUGUGAAAAACUCCGGUGGUAUAAGAUGGACCCGCGUUGGAUUAGCUUGUUGGCGGGGUAACGGCCCACCAAGGCGACGAUCCAUAGCCGGCCUGAGAGGGUGAACGGCCACAUUGGGACUGAGACACGGCCCAGACUCCUACGGGAGGCAGCAGUGGGGAAUAUUGCACAAUGGGGGAAACCCUGAUGCAGCGACGCCGCGUGAAGGAAGAAGUAUCUCGGUAUGUAAACUUCUAUCAGCAGGGAAGAUAGUGACG
rnacentral:rRNA from 1 species